CCACUUGUCACUAACAUUGGCUACCCACAUUAAAGUAGAAUAAGGACCUUGGUGGACUUCCACCUCUGCCGUUUCUCAAGUGUUCACAAAUACUGGGGAGCCCUUAGAAGUGUUUCAACUAAGCUUGGAGUUUGUCCUCUAAGGUUCUUCUAUACCAGUCUCUUUGUCAGUAUCAGUCAGGCUGCUGAAGGAAUCAGAUGAAGGAGUAGGGAGUCAACUACUAACUUGA
rnacentral:lncRNA from 1 species